UACAUGGGGUGCAAACGUUGCUCGGAAUUAUUGGGCGUAAAGCGCGCGUAGGCGGUUAUCUAAGUCGGAUGUGAAAGCCCUCGGCUUAACUGAGGAAGUGCACCCGAAACUGGAUAGCUAGAGUACGAAAGAGGGUCGCGGAAUUCCCGGUGUAGAGGUGAAAUUCGUAGAUAUUAGGAAGAACACCGGUGGCGAAGGCGGCCCACUGGUCCGGUACUGACGCUGAGGUGCGAAAGCGUGGGGAGCAAACAGG
rnacentral:rRNA from 1 species